rnacentral:rRNA from 1 species
CAGCAGCCACGGUAAUACGAAGGGUGCAAGCGUUAAUCGGAAUUACUGGGCGUAAAGCGUGCGUAGGCGGUUUGUUAAGUCUGUUGUGAAAUCCCCGGGCUCAACCUGGGAAUGGCAAUGGAUACUGGCAAGCUAGAGUGUGUCAGAGGAUGGUGGAAUUCCCGGUGUAGCAGUGAAAUGCGUAGAGAUCGGAAGGAACAUCUGUGGCGAAGGCGACUAUCUGGGCCAACACUGACACUGAGGCACGAAAGCGUGGGGAGCAAACAGGAUUAGAUAACCCUGUAGUCCCUGUCUCUUAUAC